UUAUAUAAAAUUGUUCUAAAUUAUAUAGGAAGACCCGCUGAACUGAA
rnacentral:rRNA from 1 species